AGAGUUUGAUCAUGGCUCAGGAUGAACGCUAGCGGCAGGCUUAAUACAUGCAAGUCGAACGGUAAGUUGAAUAGCAAUAUUUGACCUAGAGUGACGUACGGGUGCGUAACACGUAUGCAACCUACCCAAAACAGGAGUAUAGCUCGGGGAAACUCGAAUUAAUCCUCCAUGAGAUCAUAUUGUAGCAUUACAAAGUGAUUAAAACUCAGGUGGUUUUGGAUGGGCAUGCGUCUGAUUAGUUAGUUGGCGGGGUAACGGCCCACCAAGACGAUGAUCAGUAGGGGAACUGAGAGGUUGAUCCCCCACACUGGCACUGAGAUACGGGCCAGACUCCUACGGGAGGCAGCAGUAGGGAAUAUUGGUCAAUGGGUGCAAGCCUGAACCAGCCAUGCCGCGUGCAGGAAGAAGGCCUUCUGGGUUGUAAACUGCUUUUGCCAGGGGAUAAAAUUUCCUUGCGAGGAAAAUUGAAGGUACCUGGGAAUAG
rnacentral:rRNA from 1 species